UUUCUAGCUCGCAAAAUCGCGGUUGUUCUGUUUACAAAUUAAAACCAUAUUUACACUUCGAAUUUCGCCUCCAAAUUGUAGUAACUACAUCUACGAAGUCUAAGGAAGAUAACCAUGUAGUCUGUUCAAAUAUAAGAUACAUUUUGACAGAACUACAGACCUCGUGAAAGUAGCCUAGAAGCCAU